UCUCCUCUCUCAUCCCGACUCCUGCAACCUCGCCACUGGUGCUCGCUCGACCGGUGUAUGGGUGGCGGCCGGGAGUUUGGCCCUCGGCACGAAUUCGAUCCCCGAGUCUAGCUGAUGAGCCCGGUGGUUGGUUUGUCCUCCUACCUCCAGAUCCCCUCUUACUCAUUCUCCUCCUCUCCCCAUAUUUUGCUCUGUUGUUUGUGUUCCUUCAAUUUGCAGGGAUUGUUGGAAGCAAAUGUACGUGGGGAGUUGUUCUACUCUCUCCCUCGAGGUGGGUUGAGUUGCGGUUUAGGUGGAGAUGUUGGUGCUGUUUGAGACGCCCACUAGGUUCGCCGUUUUCAAGGUUCUGAACAAGGGCAAGCUUGACAAGAUCAAGAGCUUUGUGUUCAUCUUUGUCCGUAGGAUCUAUGGAAGGAGUUCACCACAUCAGACUCGGCGAGAAAGAAUGAAGUGGCAAGCAUAGAAGAAAUGCAGAGCCAGUUUCCCUCGGAUGCAGUUAUUACACUUAGUCUGAGGAUACACAACAGUCUAUUGAGGUUG